rnacentral:rRNA from 1 species
UUUUGACCUCAAAUCAGGUAGGACUACCCGCUGAACUUAAGCAUAUCAAUAAGCGGAGGAAAAGAAACUAACAAGGAUUCCCCUAGUAACUGCGAGUGAAGAGGGAAAAGCUCAAAUUUGAAAUCUGGCAGUCUCUGGCUGUC